GACAGAGGAUGCAAGCGUUAUCCGGAAUGAUUGGGCGUAAAGCGUCUGUAGGUGGCUUUUUAAGUCCGCCGUCAAAUCCCAGGGCUCAACCCUGGACAGGCGGUGGAAACUACCAAGCUGGAGUACGGUAGGGGCAGAGGGAAUUUCCGGUGGAGCGGUGAAAUGCGCAGAUAUCAGGAGGAACACCGGUGGCGAAGGCGGUUCUCUGGGCAUGUCCUGACGCUGAGGAGCGAAAGUGUGGGGAGCGAACAGG
rnacentral:rRNA from 1 species